ACAUACGACCACACCCACUGGAGAACUCGGGAUCCCGUCCGCUCUCCCAUAGAUAAGCCAGUGAGGGCCGGAUUAGUAGUUGGGUCGGUGACGACCAGCGAAUACCUGGUGUUGUAUGUU
rnacentral:rRNA from 1 species